AAGGAUAAUCGGAGCGUUACAGGGACUUAAGUGUUAAUUUGAAUGUUCAAAAGUUUUGUUUAGUUUUGAGUGCGUGACGCACAAAACCAGCUUAUGGGGGAUUAGCUCAGCUGGGAGAGCACCUGCUUUGCAAGCAGGGGGUCAGCGGUUCGAUCCCGCUAUUCUCCAUUGGCCAGAAGAAAGCCUUUUGGCCAAAGCUUGUACAUUGAAAACUGAAUAAUCAAGAAAUUCUUUUAAAAUGAUUCAGAGGUGAAUCAUCUAAAUGAACCGAGAAACAACACAAGUUCUUUAACAAAAGAACGGUUUAAUCGCAGGUCAAAAAAUUGACCAACUCAUAAAACUGAUCCAACUAUUAGUAGUUGU
rnacentral:tRNA from 1 species